rnacentral:rRNA from 1 species
GCUAAACGCGAAGAACCUUACCAGCCCUUGACAUCCCGGUCGCGGAAUCGAGAGAUCGAUUCCUUCAGUUAGGCUGGACCGGUGACAGGUGCUGCAUGGCUGUCGUCAGCUCGUGUCGUGAGAUGUUGGGUUAAGUCCCGCAACGAGCGCAACCCUUAUCGUAUGUUGCCACCAUUCAGUUGGGCACUCAUGCGAGACUGCCGGUGAUAAGCCGGAGGAAGGCGGGGACGACGUCAAGUCAUCAUGGCCCUUACGUGUGGGGCUAGAAACGUGCUACAAUGGUGGUGACAGUGGGCAGCGAGGUCGUGAGGCCAAGCUAAUCCCAAAAAGCCAUCUCAGUUCAGAUUGCAGUCUGCAACUCGACUGCAUGAAGUUGGAAUCGCUAGUAAUCGCAAAUCAGCAUGUUGCGGUGAAUACGUUCCCGGGUCUUGUACACACCG